rnacentral:rRNA from 1 species
UACGUAGGCAGCGAGCGUUGUUCGGAGUUACUGGGCGUAAAGGGUGUGUAGGCGGUUGUUUAAGUUUGGUGUGAAAUCUCCCGGCUCAACUGGGAGGGUGCGCCGAAUACUGAAUGACUUCGAGUGCGGGAGAGGAGAGUGGAAUUCCUGGUGUAGCGGUGAAAUGCGUAGAUAUCAGGAGGAACACCGGUGGUGUAGACGGCCCUCUGGACCGUAACUGACGCUGAGACACGAAGGCGUGGGUAGCAAACAGG